UAUAUACUCCCUCCGUCCGAAAAUACUUGUCAUCAAAAUGGAUAAGAAGAGAUGUAUCUCGAACUAAAAUAUGCCUACAUACAGCCCCUUUUAUUCAUUUUGAUGACAAGUAUUUCCUGACGGAGGGAGUACAAG
rfam:Triticum aestivum genome assembly, contig: Triticum_aestivum_CS42_TGACv1_scaffold_404830_5BL